rnacentral:rRNA from 1 species
GUCGACGAGCUUCCGUUGAAUGACGUGCUUGCACUGAUUUCAACAAUGAAGCGAGUGGCGAACUGGUGAGUAACACGUGGGGAAUCUGCCCAGAAGCAGGGGAUAACACUUGGAAACAGGUGCUAAUACCGUAUAACAACAAAAUCCGCAUGGAUUUUGUUUGAAAGGUGGCUUCGGCUAUCACUUCUGGAUGAUCCCGCGGCGUAUUAGUUAGUUGGUGAGGUAAAGGCCCACCAAGACGAUGAUACGUAGCCGACCUGAGAGGGUAAUCGGCCACAUUGGGACUGAGACACGGCCCAAACUCCUACGGGAGGCAGCAGUAGGGAAUCUUCCACAAUGGACGAAAGUCUGAUGGAGCAAUGCCGCGUGAGUGAAGAAGGGUUUCGGCUCGUAAAACUCUGUUGUUAAAGAAGAACACCUUUGAGAGUAACUGUUCAAGGGUUGACGGUAUUUAACCAGAAAGCCACGGCUAACUACGUGCCAGCAGCCGCGGUAAUACGUAGGUGGCAAGCGUUGUCCGGAUUUAUUGGGCGUAAAGCGAGCGCAGGCGGUUUUUUAAGUCUGAUGUGAAAGCCUUCGGCUUAACCGGAGAAGUGCAUCGGAAACUGGGAGACUUGAGUGCAGAAGAGGACAGUGGAACUCCAUGUGUAGCGGUGGAAUGCGUAGAUAUAUGGAAGAACACCAGUGGCGAAGGCGGCUGUCUAGUCUGUAACUGACGCUGAGGCUCGAAAGCAUGGGUAGCGAACAGGAUUAGAUACCCUGGUAGUCCAUGCCGUAAACGAUGAGUGCUAAGUGUUGGAGGGUUUCCGCCCUUCAGUGCUGCAGCUAACGCAUUAAGCACUCCGCCUGGGG